rnacentral:lncRNA from 1 species
UUACAUUAGGGUAUAUGCAUGUCUUUUGUCAAAAAGUAGCCGAAGAAGAUGAUGCACAAAAGACUAAUAGGGGCUUUGAAAUAUUUAUCUUCCACAACUAAAAUUCAAAUUUUUAUAGUGUGAAUGAUUUCCAGUAUCUUUUAGUUUGUCAUGCAGUUUUGUCAAUAUCCCCCAAAACAUUCAAAAAUGUUUAACAAGUAUGCUUAUAUUUUCAAAAAUAUUAGGAGA